rnacentral:rRNA from 1 species
GUGAGUAACGCGUGGGAAUGUGCCCUUCUCUACGGAAUAGUCCCGGGAAACUGGGUUUAAUACCGUAUACGCCCUUCGGGGGAAAGAUUUAUCGGAGAAGGAUCAGCCCGCGUCUGAUUAGGUAGUUGGUGGGGUAAUGGCCUACCAAGCCUACGAUCAGUAGCUGGUUUUAGAGGAUGAUCAGCCACACUGGGACUGAGACACGGCCCAGACUCCUACGGGAGGCAGCAGUGGGGAAUCUUAGACAAUGGGCGCAAGCCUGAUCUAGCCAUGCCGCGUGAGUGAUGAAGGCCUUAGGGUCGUAAAACUCUUUCGCCAGGGAUGAUAAUGACAGUACCUGGUAAAGAAGCCCCGGCUAACUCCGUGCCAGCAGCCGCGGUAAUACGGAGGGGGCUAGCGUUGUUCGGAAUUACUGGGCGUAAAGCGCGCGUAGGCGGACUAUUAAGUCAGGGGUGAAAUCCCGGGGCUCAACCCCGGAACUGCCCUUGAUACUGGUAGUCUUGAGUUCGAGAGAGGUGAGUGGAAUUCCGAGUGUAGAGGUGAAAUUCGUAGAUAUUCGGAGGAACACCAGUGGCGAAGGCGGCUCACUGGCUCGAUACUGACGCUGAGGUGCGAAAGUGUGGGGAGCAAACAGGAUUAGAUACCCUGGUAGUCCACACCG